rnacentral:rRNA from 1 species
CCUACGGGAGGCAGCAGUGAGGAAUAUUGGUCAAUGGGCGAGAGCCUGAACCAGCCAAGUCGCGUGAGGGAGUACUGCCCUAUGGGUUGUCAACCUCUUUUGUCGGGGAGCAAAAGCCGGACGUGUCCGGCUGUGAGAUUACCCGAAGAAAAAGCAUCGGCUUACUCCGUGCCAGCAGCCGCGGUAAUACGGAGGAUGCGAGCGUUAUCCGGAUUUAUUGGGUUUAAAGGGAGCGUAGGUGGAUUGUUAAGUCAGUUGUGAAAGUUUGCGGCGCAACCGUAAAAUUGCAGUUGAAACUGGCAGUCUUGAGUACAGUAGAGGUGGGCGGAAUUCGUGGUGUAGCGGUGAAAUGCUUAGAUAUCACGAAGAACUCCGAUUGCGAAGGCAGCUCACUGGACUGCAACUGACACUGAGGCUCGAAAGUGUGGGUAUCAAACAGGAUUAGAUACCCUGGUAGUC